GCAGAACCAACCGGUCCAAAGGUACCGACCCAAAACCGCCUUAGAACCAACCGGUCCAAAGGUACCGACCCAAAACCGCCUUAGAACCAACAGGUCCAAAGGUACCGACCCGAAACCACAGCAGAACCAACCGGUCCAAAGGUACCGACCCAAAACCGCCUUAGAACCAACCAGUCCAAAGGUACCGACCCAAAACCACAGCAGAACCAACCGAUCCAAAGGUACCGACCCAAAACCGCCUUAGAACCAACCGAUCCAAAGGUACCGACCCAAAACCGCCUUAGAACCAACCGGUCCAAAGGUACCGACC